AUUGAACGCUGGCGGCAUGCCUUACACAUGCAAGUCGAACGGCAGCACGGGAGCAAUCCUGGUGGCGAGUGGCGAACGGGUGAGUAAUAUAUCGGAACGUGCCCAGUCGUGGGGGAUAACGCAGCGAAAGCUGCGCUAAUACCGCAUACGAUCUAUGGAUGAAAGCGGGGGAUCGCAAGACCUCGCGCGAUUGGAGCGGCUGAUAUCAGAUUAGGUAGUUGGUGGGGUAAAAGCUUACCAAGCCUACGAUCUGUAGCUGGUCUGAGAGGACGACCAGCGACACUGGGACUGAGACACGGCCCAGCCUCCUACGGGAGGCAGCAGUGGGGAAUUUUGGACAAUGGGCGCAAGCCUGAUCCAGCCAUGCCGCGUGCAGGAUGAAGGCCUUCGGGUUGUAAACUGCUUUUGUACGGAACGAAACGGCUCUUUCUAAUACAGGGGGCUAAUGACGGUACCGUAAGAAUAAGCACCGGCUAACUACGUGCCAGCCGCCGCUGUAAAAC
rnacentral:rRNA from 1 species